UAACUCAACUCUGAAAUAAAACAUAUUUCAUGUACGCCCCAUUUCUUGCUCUGGGUUCCUAGAUUUCUGCGACCCUCAUAGACAUCCGCCCCAAAUCGGAAGGGUUCACAGAGUCCUACAAGCUUUUACAUAGAAUUUGGGUGGGUCUUUGAUUCUUGCCCGUCAUGAAGGUGACAGUGGUGUCCCGCGGUGGGAGAGAAGUCAUCAAGGGAGGGUUCAACCUCAAUGACUCGUACGGUAGCAGAUCUGCAGGAGGCAAUACAUAAGCGAAGUGAGUUUUUCUAUUUACACAUUCACUUUUGGCUAGAAACGGAUCAAUCGUCAUUCACUGAGAGUUUAAAGCUUCCAUUCAAUCUCAUGAAUAGCAUUAAAUAUUUUUGAUCUGAUGGUCUGGAAUUCAUUUGCUCAAUGAGAUCGAGUGAUCUCUGGCUACCAUUUGUUAGUGCUGUUGAUAGUUUGAUGUGAGGAACAUUUUAUUUUGUCGUGUUAGCUAGUCAGAGCUCCUGCUAUUCGAUGAAGGAAGCCCCUAAAUGAAACUCAUGUUCAUGUCCAGUAAGGUUUGCGUGAAUCCUAUUCCAGAAAUGUCCAGGGCAAUAUUAAGGUGAUUCCAAAUCAUUUCUAUCAGAACUCCUCCUCCGUUUCAGGACGAUAUGUAUAUUGUCAUCGUCGUCCAACUGCUCCAAGGCCUCAAUCACCAUUUCUGUGUAGCAGUGCACAUGGAUGCGGUUCUUGCCCUCUGUCAACCUGUAUGACCAACAGUAGAAAUCUGUCGGGCCAUACUUGGAUGCUUCCUCAGGCCGCUUCUUGCCACACCACACACAGCUAUGUCUUUCCCCCGUCUGGAGCUCAAGGGGCACGCGGCUGUUGGUGUUGAAUGUGGCGAGCUCAGCACAGCAUGGGUGCAUGUUCAAGUCCUUGUUUUCCGUGGUCUGAGCGUGAUAGCUGUAAUGCCUGAUCGGCAUCCCGCACACCAGACAGUUCUUGGCCCAUUUCUUAUUUUCGGAAUUCCUCCCUGUUUUUCAUUUCAAACUUAUAAUGUUAGGUUUGGGAAAGGAAACACAAAAGGAAAGGUAAAACGAAGCACCAAGCAAAACCAGUGAAUUAUUGAUACAGAUUCAGA